rnacentral:rRNA from 1 species
UACAGAGGGUGCGAGCGUUAAUCGGAAUUACUGGGCGUAAAGGGCGCGUAGGCGGGAUGGCAAGUCGGUCGUGAAAUCCCUCGGCUCAACCGAGGAACGUCGAUCGAUACUGCUGUUCUUGAGGAUUGCAGAGGAGACUGGAAUUCCCGGUGUAGCGGUGAAAUGUGUAGAGAUCGGGAGGAACACCGGUGGCGAAGGCGGGUCUCUGGGCAAUUCCUGACGCUGAGGCGCGAAAGCGUGGGGAGCAAACGGG